UACGUAGGGUGCAAGCGUUGUCCGGAAUUAUUGGGCGUAAAGAGCUCGUAGGCGGUUUGUCGCGUCUGCUGUGAAAUCCCGAGGCUCAACCUCGGGCUUGCAGUGGGUACGGGCAGACUAGAGUGCGGUAGGGGAGAUUGGAAUUCCUGGUGUAGCGGUGAAAUGCGCAGAUAUCAGGAAGAACACCCGUGGCGAAGGCGGCUCUCUGGGACGGUACUGACGCUGAGACGCGAAAGCGUGGGGAGCGAACAGG
rnacentral:rRNA from 1 species